UGAGGAAUAUUGGUCAAUGGGCGAGAGCCUGAACCAGCCACGUCGCGUGAAGGAAGACUGACCUUACGGUUUGUAAACUUCUUUUGUAGAGGGGUAAUGGCAGAUACGUGUAUUUGCGUGAAAGUACUCUACGAAUAAGCAUCGGCUAACUCCGUGCCAGCAGCCGCGGUAAUACGGGGGAUGCGAGCGUUAUCCGGAAUUAUUGGGUUUAAAGGGAGCGUAGGCUGUUUGUUAAGCGUGUUGUGAAAUGUAAGAGCUCAACUUUUAGAUUGCAGCGCGAACUGGCAGACUUGAGUGCGCACAACGUAGGCGGAAUUCAUGGUGUAGCGGUGAAAUGCUUAGAUAUCAUGACGAACUCCGAUUGCGAAGGCAGCUUACGGGAGCGCAACUGACGCUAAAGCUCGAAGGUGCGGGUAUCGAACAGG
rnacentral:rRNA from 1 species